CGGGGCGUGGCGCAGUCUGGAAGCGCACCUGCUUUGGGAGCAGGGGGUCGGAGGUUCAAAUCCUCUCGCCCCGACCA
rnacentral:tRNA from 1 species